AGUGAACGCUGGCGGUAGGCCUAACACAUGCAAGUCGAACGGCAGCACAGGAGAGCUUGCUCUCUGGGUGGCGAGUGGCGGACGGGUGAGGAAUACAUCGGAAUCUACUCUGUCGUGGGGGAUAACGUAGGGAAACUUACGCUAAUACCGCAUACGACCUACGGGUGAAAGCAGGGGAUCUUCGGACCUUGCGCGAUUGAAUGAGCCGAUGUCGGAUUAGCUAGUUGGCGGGGUAAAGGCCCACCGAGGCGACGAUCCGUAGCUGGUCUGAGAGGAUGAUCAGCCACACUGGAACUGAGACACGGUCCAGACUCCUACGGGAGGCAGCAGUGGGGAACAUUGGACAAUGGGCGCAAGCCUGAUCCAGCCAUACCGCGUGGGUGAAGAAGGCCUUCGGGUUGUAAAGCCCUUUUGUUGGGAAAGAAAUCCAGCUGGCUAAUACCCGGUUGGGAUGACGGUACCCAAAGAAUAAGCACCGGCUAACUUCGUGCCAGCCGCCGCGGUAA
rnacentral:rRNA from 1 species